rnacentral:misc_RNA from 1 species
UACGUAGGGGGCAAGCGUUGUCCGGAAUCAUUGGGCGUAAAGAGCGUGUAGGCGGCCUGGUAAGUCGGCUGUGAAAGUCAGGGGCUCAACCCUUGAAUGCCGGCCGAUACUGUCAGGCUAGAGUCCGGAAGAGGCGAGUGGAAUUCCUGGUGUAGCGGUGAAAUGCGCAGAUAUCAGGAGGAACACCGAUGGCGAAGGCAGCUCGCUGGGACGGUACUGACGCUGAGACGCGAAAGCGUGGGGAGCAAACAGG